CUAUAUUAGCAGGGUUGGGAAACCAACUAUGGCGAUAAACGUUUUGUAGAAUAAGCGUAACGGACCCGGGGGCAGUGCCCGGCGCCUCCACCAAUUUACUCGUAAGAAUCUUUGGGGGCGAAACAGGAUCGACGUGCGUGGUAAAGGCACAAUUUUCGCUCGGCAUGGUACCACCGUUAUCGGGCCAAUUUUACAAAUGCUAACGAUAAUGAAGCAUUUGCGGUAGCCGCUUAAUAACCGGUUUACCACGGGGUUCGGGGGGCACCUGGCAACAGAAGCCCCCCACUAAAGAGCACCUAACACUUGUUAACUUGUGCAACAAGUC
rnacentral:tmRNA from 1 species